GUGCCAGCAGCCGCGGUAAUACGGAGGGGGCUAGCGUUGUUCGGAAUUACUGGGCGUAAAGCGCACGUAGGCGGAUCAGUCAGUCAGGGGUGAAAUCCCGGGGCUCAACCCCGGAACUGCCUUUGAUACUGCUGGUCUGGAGGAUGGGAGAGGCGAGUGGAAUUCCGAGUGUAGAGGUGAAAUUCGUAGAUAUUCGGAGGAACACCAGUGGCGAAGGCGGCUCGCUGGCCCAUUUCUGACGCUGAGGUGCGAAAGCGUGGGGAGCAAACAGGAUUAGAAACCCCCGUAGUCC
rnacentral:rRNA from 1 species